rfam:Alphaproteobacteria bacterium 13_1_20CM_3_64_12 13_1_20cm_3_scaffold_592, whole genome shotgun sequence.
CACACGCAGGGCUGCGGCCUCCCCGAAGGGGCUGGCCGCUCCGGUGUCGGCUUUCCGCGAAGCGGAACGGUCGAUUGUCCCCUGCGGCGGCAUAACCGGAAAGGAAGAGAUAU